rnacentral:rRNA from 1 species
UCAGCAGUCAAGAAUAUUAGUCAAUGCUCGCAAGAGUGAACUAGCUAACUGAAAUCUAAAAUUUUAUUUUAAGAUAAGGUAAGAGAAAAUAAUGAUAUUAUCUUACUAUUAGUGUCGUCUAAAUUUGGUGCCAGAAGACUCGGUAAGACCUUAGACGCAAACGUUAAUCGUCAUAAUCAGGCGUAAAGGGUGUGUAGGCGGCUUUUUAUACAAAUAUAAUUAUAGCUAAUAAAUUAUAUUCCAAUAAAAGCUAGAAUCUAAAAGAGGGUAAGCUAAACAACAUAAUUAAUUGGGACUGACAACUUAUAAUAAUGUGGAGUACUAAAGGUUAAAGCUAUUUAUCUACUUAAGAUUGACGCUGAGAAACGAAGGGGAGAAUAAGAAACUUAGAUUAGAGACCUAAUUAUCUCUCUCAGUCAACGAUGAAUGGUAGUUAUUAAAAAUAAAAUAUAAUAUUAUUAGUGACGAGGUUAACACGAUGACCAUUCCGCCUUGUUAGUAAGACUGCAAAGUUGAAAACAAAAAAAUAGUCGGUCUGC